GAUGAACGCUGGCGGCGUGCUUAACACAUGCAAGUCGAACGAUGAAGCCCAGCUUGCUGGGUGGAUUAGUGGCGAACGGGUGAGUAACACGUGAGUAACCUGCCCUUGACUCUGGGAUAAGCCUGGGAAACUGGGUCUAAUACCGGAUAGGAACGUCCACCGCAUGGUGGUUGUUGGAAAGACUUAUCGGUCAUGGAUGGACUCGCGGCCUAUCAGCUUGUUGGUGAGGUAAUGGCUCACCAAGGCGACGACGGGUAGCCGGCCUGAGAGGGUGACCGGCCGCACUGGGACUGAGACACGGCCCAGACUCCUACGGGAGGCAGCAGUGGGGAAUAUUGCACAAUGGGCGAAAGCCUGAUGCAGCGACGCCGCGUGAGGGAUGACGGCCUUCGGGUUGUAAACCUCUUUCAGUAGGGAAGAAGCGAAAGUGACGGUACCUGCAGAAGAAGCACCGGCUAACUACGUGCCAGCAGCCGCAGUAAGAC
rnacentral:rRNA from 1 species